rnacentral:rRNA from 1 species
CAAAAACAUGUCUUUUUGAUUAUAAUUUAAAGUCUUGCCUGCCCAAUGAUUAAUUUAAUGGCCGCAGUAUUUUGACUGUGCAAAGGUAGCAUAAUCAUUAGUUUUUUAAUUGAAAGCUGGAAUGAAUGGUUUGAUGAGAAAUAGACUGUCUCUUUAUAAAUUUUUUUGAAUUUUAAUUUUAAGUGAAAAAGCUUAAAUGUAUUAUAAAGACGAGAAGACCCUAUAGAGUUUUAUUAUUAAAUUUAUUAAUUGUUUUAGGUUUAUAUUUUAAUUAAUUUUUUUAAUAAUUUUGUUGGGGUGAUAUAAAAAUUUAUAUAACUUUUUAUUUAUUUUUACAUAGAUUAAUGAAUUUUUGAUCCUUUAUUUAAGAUUAAAAGACUAAAUUACCUUAGGGAUAACAGCGUAAUUUUUUUGGAAAGUUCUUAUUUAUAAAAAAGUUUGCGACCUCGAUGUUGGAUUAAAAUUUAUUUUUGGUGCAGAAGCUGAAAUAUUAGGUCUGUUCGACCUUUGAAAUUUUACAUGAUCU